CCGAGUUUACAACUCCCAAACCCAAUGUGAACGCUACCAAACUGUUGCCAUCGGCGGGAUCUCUGCCCCGGGUGCGUCGCAGCCCCGGACCAAGGCGCCCGCCGGAGGACCAACCAAAACUCUUAUUGUAUACCCCCUCGCGGGUUUUUUUAUAAUCUGAGCCUUCUCGGCGCCUCUCGUAGGCGUUUCGAAAAUGAAUCA
rnacentral:misc_RNA from 1 species